AGAAUAUAUAAUUUAAAGCUGCUAACUUUAAUAAUAGCGAUUAUCGUUAAUAUUCUU
rnacentral:tRNA from 1 species